UGAUGAUAUCAACAGCACAUAUACUGAUACUAUUAACAGCACAUAUACUGUAUCUAGCUCAUUUAGCUGGAUUUCAUCAGGUUCACAUUUCCUACAACUGCCUUACAGAAGAGUAUACAUUGCAUUAGAAACAACAGAGGUAGGGCCAGAGGGAGAGCAGAAGGAAGACGGAGGAAAUGUAAAGUCGAGAUAUUGAAGAGUUCCUCUGUGUGAAUUGAAACAUAUAAACUAUUUUCCUCUUGGGCUUUUGUGGGUCCUGUUUCCUUCAGCUCGUAAACAURCAGCUCUUACAAGGAUGGGCAGUCUUCCAAUCGCCCUGCUCCUCUGCGGUUUCCACGCCCUCACAGCUGUAGCCCAAGCCCCGCAGGCUGAGGUGGAACUCCCCAGAGGUGACUGGAAUGAAGAGGAGGCUUUGGUGUCUGUCUCUACCCUACCGCCUGGUGAGUGAGGUGUCUGUCUCUACCCUACCACCUGGUGAGUGAGGUGUCUGUCUCUACCCUACCACCUGUUGAGUGAG